AGUUACAAUAGUUUAAAAGAAAACAAAGGUUUUGUAACCCUUAAUUGAUUAAAUCUUGUAAUUUC
rnacentral:tRNA from 1 species